rnacentral:rRNA from 1 species
AUUGAACGCUGGCGGCGUGCUUAACACAUGCAAGUCGAGCGGUAACAGGUGUAGCAAUACAUGCUGACGAGCGGCGAACGGGUGAGUAAUGCUUCGGAAUCUGCCCAGUAGUGGGGAACAACCAGUCGAAAGACUGGCUAAUACCGCAUACGACCUUAGGGUGAAAGCGGGGGAUCGCAAGACCUCGCGCUAUUGGAUGAGCCGAAGUCGGAUUAGCUAGUUGGUGAGGUAAAGGCUCACCAAGGCGACAAUCCGUAGCUGGUCUGAGAGGACGACCAGCCACACUGGGACUGAGACACGGCCCAGACUCCUACGGGUGGCAG